rnacentral:rRNA from 1 species
CGGCAGGCUUAACACAUGCAAGUCGAACGGUUGUAGCAAUACAGCAGUGGCAAGACGGGUGAAGUAACACGUGGGAACCUUCCUAGGGGUACGGAACAACUCAGGGAAACUUGAGCUAAUACCGUAUACGUCCGUGAGGAGAAAGAUUUAUCGCCCUUAGACGGGCCCGCGUCGGAUUAGCUAGUUGGUGGGGUAACGGCCUACCAAGGCGACGAUCCGUAGCUGAUCUUAGAGGAUGAUCAGCCACACUGGGACUGAGACACGGCCCAGACUCCUACGGGAGGCAGCAGUGGGGAAUCUUGGACAAUGGGCGCAAGCCUGAUCCAGCCAUGCCGCGUGAGUGAAGAAGGUCUUCGGAUUGUAAAGCUCUUUUGCCAGGGACGAUAAUGACGGUACCUGGAGAAUAAGCCCCGGCAAACUUCGUG